UACAGAGGGGGCGAGCGUUGUUCGGAAUUACUGGGCGUAAAGGGCGCGUAGGCGGCCCGCUAAGUCGAACGUGAAAUCCCCAGGCUCAACCUGGGAACUGCGUCCGAUACUGGCAGGCUUGAAUCCGGGAGAGGGAUGUGGAAUUCCAGGUGUAGCGGUGAAAUGCGUAGAUAUCAGGAAGAACACCCGUGGCGAAGGCGGCUCUCUGGGACGGUACUGACGCUGAGACGCGAAAGCGUGGGGAGCGAACAGG
rnacentral:rRNA from 1 species